ensembl:lncRNA
GUAUUGGUGGUAGUGGUGGUGGUGAAAGUGGUGGUGUUGGUGGUAGUGGUGAUGAUGGAGGUGGUGAUGGUGGUGGUAGUGGUGGUGAUGGAUGUGGUGGUGAUGGUGAAAAUGGUGGUGGUGGAGAAAGUUGUGAAAUUGGUGGUGGUAGUGGUGGUAGUGGUGGUGGUGAAAGUGGUGGUGGUGGUGAUGGUGGUGGUGCUUGUGAAAGUGGUGAUGGUGGUGGUAGUGGUGGUGAUGGAGGUGGUGGUGGUAGUGGUGGUGAUGGAGGUGGUGGUGAAGUGGUGAAAGUGGUCGUGGAGAAAGUGGUGAAAUUGGUGGUGGUAGUGGUGGUGGUGAAAGUGGUGGUGGUAGUGGUGAUGAUGGAGGUGGUGAUGGAGGUGGUGGUGGUGGUGAAAGUGCUGGUGAAAGUGGUGGUGGAGGAGAAAGUGGUGAAAGUGGUGGUGGUAGUGGUGGUGGUGAUGAUGGUGAAAGUCAUGGUGGUGAAAGUGGUGAAGGUGGUGGUGAUGGAGGUGUUGAUGGAGGUGGUGGUGGUGGUAGUGGUGGUGUUGGAGGUGGUGGUGAAAGUGAUGGUGGUGGAGAAAGUGCUGAAAGUGGUGGUGGUAGUGGUGGUGGUGGAGGUGGUGGUGGUGGUGGUGAUGGUGGUGGUUGUGAAAGUGGUGAUGGUGGUGGUAGUGGUGGUGAUGGAGGUGGUGAUAGAGGUGGUGGUGGUAGUGGUGGUAUUGGUGGUAGUGGUGGUGGUGAAAGUGGUGAUGGUGGUGGUAGUGGUGGUGAUGGAUGUGGUGGUGGUGGUGAAAAUGGUGGUGGUGGAGAAAGGUGUGAAAGUGGUGGUGGUAGUGGUGAAAGUGGUGAUGGUGGUGGUUGUGAAAGUGGUGAUGGCGGUGGUGGUUGUGAAAGUGGUGAUCUCUACAUCACUGUAGAGAUCUACAUACAGUGAUG